rnacentral:rRNA from 1 species
ACUCCUACGGGAGGCAGCAGUGGGGAAUAUUGGACAAUGGGCGAAAGCCUGAUCCAGCCAUGCCGCGUGUGUGAAGAAGGUCUUCGGAUUGUAAAGCACUUUAAGUUGGGUAGGAAGGGCGAGUAAGUUAAUAACCUUGCUGUUUUGUACGUUACCAACAGAAUAAGCACCGGCUAACUUCGUGCCAGCAGCCGCGGUAAUACGAAGGGGUGCAAGCGUUAAUCGGAAUUACUGGGCGUAAAGCGCGCGUAGGUGGUUCAGCAAGUUGGAUGUGAAAUCCCCGGGGCUCAACCUGGGAACUGCAUCCAAAACUACUGAGCUAGAGUACGGUAGAGGGUGGUGGAAUUUCCUGUGUAGCGGUGAAAUGCGUAGAUAUAGGAAGGAACACCAGUGGCGAAGGCGACCACCUGGACUGAUACUGACACUGAGGUGCGAAAGCGU